CUUGAACGCUGGCGGCAGGCCUAACACAUGCAAGUCGAACGAGUGGCGGACGGGUGAGUAAUGUCCGGGAAACUGCCUGAUGGAGGGGGAUAACUACUGGAAACGGUAGCUAAUACCGCAUACCCUCAGAUGUGCCCAGAUGGGAUUAGCUUGUUGGUGGGGUAACGGCUCACCAAGGCGACGAUCCCUAGCAGGUCUGAGAGGAUGACCAGCCACACUGGAACUGAGUCACGGUCCAUACUCCUACGGGAGGCAGCAGUGGGAAAUAUUGCACAAUGGGCGAAAGCCUGAUGCAGCCAUUCCGCGUGUAUGAAGAAGGCCUGCGGGUUGUAAAGUACUUUCAGCGGGGAGGCGUUACCCGCAGAAGAAGCACCGGCUAACUCCGUGCCAGCAGCCGCGGUAAUAC
rnacentral:rRNA from 1 species